GCAAGACAUGGUUCUUGCCCACCGUCACGUUGGACCUGGAGAUGUGAAGGAGGCUGGGGAGAGGGCGAUCAGGGUACAGCCACUGUCCAAGCCUGGCCGCCACCUGCACACAACAUGAGGGCCCUCCGGUCUCCCCCCAACAGGCAUUUGGAACCCAAAGGAGGGCUGGCCGCCAGCUCCUUACGUUCACUUUGCUUCUCUUUGUUUUGCCUUGCUCUGCUUUGCUUUGCUCUUGCUGGCACAGUUUUGCUUUCCCAUACCUCCUUUUCUCUGCUGUUCUUGCCCCUGCUUUGCCUCAGAGUGUUUUGCUCUUUCUCUCCUUGAAAUACUUUGCAUUUCCUUGUGCUACUUUCCUUUGCUCUGCUUUGACUUGCUCUGCUUUGCCUUCGCUGGCCAUGCUUUCGUUUGCUUUAUCAGGCCAUGCUUUCCUUGGUUUAGCUUUGGGUUAUAGACCUGGCAUUGCAUUGCUUUUCCUACCCGUGCUGUGCUUUGCCUUGCCUCAAACUGCUUUGCUUUGCUUUGUUUGCUUUGUCUUCCCUGGUUAUGCUUUGCUUUUCCUGGUGCUACUUUCCUUAGCUCUGCUUUGCCUUCCCUGGCCGUGCUUUUGUUUGCUUUAUGGGGCCAUGUUUUCCUUUUUUACCUUUGCCUUGCUCUCUUUUGCCUCACCUGCUCCUGCUCUCACUUCCAUUUUCAGGCCAUGCUUUCCUUUUUUUACCUUUGCCUUGCUCUCUUUUGCCUCACCUGCUCCUGCUCUCCUUUCCGUUUUCAGGCCAUGCUUACCUUUGUUUUGCUUUACUUUGUAUUCCUGGCACUGCUUUGCUGUUCCUUUUGCUACUUUCUUUUGUUCUGCUUUGCCUUGCCUGGCCAUGCUUUCCUUUGCCUUGCUUUGUUUUCCUGGCAUUGCUUUGCUUUUCCGUACCUCCUUUCCUCUGCUGUUCUUGCCCCUGCUUUGCUUUGCUUUGCCUCAGACUUCUUUGUUUUUCUUUCCUGGAAGUGAUUUGCUUUUUCUUUUUCUACAUUCCCUUGCUCUGCUUUGACUUGCUCAGCUUUGCUUUCCCUGGCCAUGCUUUCUUUUGCUUUGUCAGGUCAUGCUUUCCUUGGUUUAGCUUUAGUUUAUAGACCUGGCACAGGUCUAUAAACUGGCCUUGCUCUCACCCUCAGCUACAUUUAUAUCCAUUCACCACAAAUCUUUGGACCCAGCCACACAGCCAGUUUUUAACCCAUUGAAACAUAAUUCUUUCCAGGCCGUAAGCAGCCAGAUCCUCUGGAAGAAUGCUGUGGCAAAUCGUUUCAAAAGCCUUAUUGCAGUUUAGGCAGACCACAUCCACAGCCUUUCCCUUGU
rnacentral:lncRNA from 1 species